rnacentral:lncRNA from 10 species
GUUGCAGUGAGCCAAGAUCAGGCCAUUGUACACCAGCCUGGGCAACAAGAGCAAAACUGUGUCUCAGAAAAAAAGAAGAAAGAAAGGAAGGAAAGAAGGAAGGAAGGAAGGAAGGAAGGAAGGAAGGAAGGAAGGAAGGAAAGAAGGAAAGAAAGGAGGGAAGGAAGCCACAGGGCACAAUGUCAUAAUCCCUUUAGAAGCUGAGAUUUCUACCGUGCCAUUUGAGGCUCCCUGUGGCAUUAGGAAGAGACAGAAAAGGGGGUCAGAAUGUCAGGCUGAUGACCGACCCUGAGACUCAGGGUGUCCUGUGAUUGUUACCACACCCUGGUGUGGCCAGGAAAGGUACAGGAGGAACCAGAGAACACCUGGGGCACAAUGCCCCGCGGAACGGUGGGCUGAAGAAGCUGCUACUCUAAUCAGAGUCCCACCAAGGGUUGAAGAGCCUCAGGAACAGAGGUUAGAGUUGCCGCUCUGGAUCCAGAACCCCAACCAGUGAGAGCCUGCCUGAAGACAGGAGAAUAAGGACUGGGCAGGUGGAAGAAGGAAGCUGUAGCCACAUGGCCGAUGGCUGCAUGACUGGCCUCCCAUCUUUUUUCCCUUCCUUACUGCCAGAGCCCUAUGGAAUAUUUACCUUUCCCCAUUUUUUGAAGGAAGAAUUACUGUCUUUAAUGUUUUUCCUUUCUCAUUCCUCAUCUUUUCCUUCUCUUGAGCAGAGUAUAUGGAGGGUGGUUGAAUUGACACCAGCUUGCAGAAUGGUGAGAUGGAGUCAGGAUGGAAUUGGGAAGUGGAGAUCCUGGAUUUUGACCACAGAGGCCCUGUGACCUCACCCUUGGCAUUUGGGCUGUGACCAGCUGGGGAAGGGAGGCUGCAGCUGUAGUAUGUAGGAUGACUAUUAGUUUAUUUCCCAAAGAACUCAUCAGCUUACCUACCGCCCCCGAGACUUAUGGCCACUGCCCUAAUUCAGGCCUUCCUCACCUAACCCCUGAUGGAAAAAUCACCUCCUUAACUGCCACUCUGCCUUUACUCUUUCCCUGUUCAAUCUUGUAAAAAGCAAAUUUCCAGCCAGGCUUGGUAGCUCAUGCCUAUAAUCCCAGCAAUUUGGGAGACCGAGGCAGGAGGAUUGCUUGAGGCCAGGAGUUCGAGAUCAGCCUGUGCAAUGUAGUGAGACCCUGUCUCUACAAAAAAAUUUAAAAAUUAGCUAAGCAUGGUGGCACACACCUGUAGUUCCAGCUACUUGGGAGGCUGAGGUGGGAGGAUUGCUUGAGCCCAGGAGGCAGAGGGUGCAGUGAGCCAUGAUUGCACCCCUGCACUCCAACCUGGGCGACAGAGCAAGACUUUGUCACCCUCUCCCCCAAAAAAGCAAAUUUCCUUCUAACAUUACCAAGUCAUUCCCAGCAAAUAAGUUUGUUUAGUUCAGCAAACAAGACCCCUCUAAUCACCUCCAAGCCCUCUCUAGCAGCAGAUCCUAAGGAUCUAGAGCUUUUGACAUUCCCACUCCAACCUGAUUGGUGCUCCCAUUCAAACCAUGGUCCUUUCUCAUAUCAUGCCUUUGUUUAUACUGGCCCACCAGAAGUGCCAUCCAUCCACCCACUGACAACUUAACCCUUUAGAACUCAGCUCUGGAUAUCACCUCCUUCUAAAGGCCUUUCCUGUCUUCCUUCCCAGGACUCAACGCACCCCUUCAGCAAGAUUAGGUAGCCCUCCUAUGGGAUUCCAUCAUAGCCCUCGCAGACCUCUCCGCUGUUGCACUGAGUGUAUUGUAUUGUGAGUGCUGGUUUGUCUGCGGCUCUUUCAGUCCUUUCCUUGCUGACAAGGCCCAGGAAUUGGUCUGAUCCAUCACUACAUUCCCAGUCCUUAGCAGGAUCCAGCCUCCCUUCUGCUAACCAGAAUCUGCUUAAAUACCGUCCUAGGCUUCCUAUUGCCCUUAGGAUAAAGAAGAAAGUUCCUAACUGAGUUCACCGAAAGGUCCUUCAAGACUUGACCCCAAUCUCCCUCUCUAGCCUCAUGCUUUUCCAGCCCCCAUUCUGCACCCCUCGACGGCAUUUA